UGCAAACUCCAUUCAGCAGUGCGGUG
rnacentral:piRNA from 1 species